rnacentral:rRNA from 1 species
CUGCCGGAGGUUACUGCUAUCGAGGUUCGACUAAGCCAUGCGAGUCGAAUGUAGCAAUACAUGGCGUACUGCUCAGUAACACGUGGACAACCUACCCUUGGGACGGGGAUAAACCCGGGAAACUGGGUAUAAUACCCGAUAGUCCUCGACUGCUGGAAUGCAUCGAGGUCGAAAGCUCCGGUGCCCAAGGAUGGGUCUGCGGCCUAUCAGGUAGUAGUGGGUGUAGCGUACCUACUAGCCUACGACGGGUACGGGUUGUGAGAGCAAGAGCCCGGAGAUGGAUUCUGAGACACGAAUCCAGGCCCUACGGGGUGCAGCAGGCGCGAAAACUUUACAAUGCUGGAAACAGCGAUAAGGGAACCUCGAGUGCCAGGUUACAAAUCUGGCUGUCGUGAUGCCUAAAAAGCAUUGCAUAGCAAGGGCCGGGCAAGACCGGUGCCAGCCGCCGCGGUAACACCGGCGGCUCGAGUGGUAACCGUUAUUAUUGGGUCUAAAGGGUCUGUAGCCGGCCGGAUAAGUCUCUUGGGAAAUCUGGCAGCUUAACUGUCAGGCCUUCAGGAGAUACUGUCUGGCUCGAGGCCGGGAGAGGUGAGAGGUACUUCAGGGGUAGGGGUGAAAUCUUGUAAUCCUUGAAGGACCACCAGUGGCGAAGGCGUCUCACCAGAACGGACCCGACGGCAAGGGACGAAAGCUAGGGGCACGAACCGGAUUAGAUACCCGGGUAGUCCUAGCCGUAAACGAUACUCGCUAGGUGUCGGCCACGGUGCGACCGUGGUCGGUGCCGUAGGGAAGCCGUGAAGCGAGCCACCUGGGAAGUACGGCCGCAAGGCUGAAACUUAAAAGGAAUUGGCGGGGGGAGCACCACAACGGGUGGGAGCUUGGCGGUUUAAUUGGGAUU